rnacentral:lncRNA from 12 species
GGGGGGGGGGGGGGGGGGGGGGGGGGGGGGGGGGGGGGGGGGUUCCCUACACGACGCUCUUCCGAUCUAAAUAUCUAUUUUUUAAACCCGACAGAUGAAGAACAAACGAGGAUGUGCAAUACCCCAAUUUUCCCCCAAAAUCCCGAGGAAUUCAUGAAUUUGCUGUAGUCUUAUUUUUUUUUUCCUUUUUUUUUUUUUUUUUUUUUUUUUUUUUUGGGCUUUUCCUUUUUUUUUUGGGGGGGGGGGGGGGGGGGGGGGGGGGGGGGGGGGGGGGGGGGGAAAAUCCCCCCUUUUCCCGGGAGCUUUUGUAUCUGUAAAAUAUUGUAAUUAAUGAUUUGUUGUAACGAGAUCUACUGUAAGUUUUGUACUGUACUGGCUGAGGCUCUGGUUAAAAAUAAACGGGAAUAAUUUAAUGUGCCCCAUCCCCCUGAGCCCCAAAAAUCCCUUUCCUCACAUCUGGGGACAACCAGGGAGGGGACAGGGGACACUGGGGACACUCAGGAGGGGACAAGGGACAUUGGGGACACCCAGGAGGGGACAAGGGACAUUGGGGACACUCAGAAAUGGGGGGAAAAAGGACAUUGGGGACACUCAGGAGGGGACAAGGGACACUGGGGACACCCAGGAAUGGGGGGAAAGGACAUUGGAGUGUCCUUUAGGGGUUUUGGGGGGAAUGCAGGACACUGAGGGGGACACAAAUGGCAUUGGGGACAACCAGGGAGGGACAAGGGACAUUGGGGACACACAGAAAUGGGGGGAAAAGGACAUUGGGGGUCUCCUUUAGGGGUUUUUGGGGGACAAAAUUGGCAUUGGGGACACUCAGAAAUGGGGAGAAAGGACAUUGGGGUGUCCUUCAGGCGUUUUGUGGGGGACACAGAUGGCAUCGGGGACGCGCAGGAAGGGACAAAGGACGUUAGAGACAUGCAGAGAUGGGGGGAAAGGACAUUGGGGUCUCCUUCAAUGUUUUUUGGGGGGACACAGGACACUGGGGACCCCCAUGAAUGGGAGGGGACCCACUCCCUCUCCGGACUACAUUUCCCAGCAGCCCUCGCGGCGGGCGCGCUUCGCGGAUGACGUCACACGCAGUACGCGGGAGUUCUUAUCUGCGGUCGCGGAAUGGAUCCCUCCGCCCACCGCAGGAAAAAUAGUCCCUCACCCCAUCCCCGUUCCCGUUAAUUCCC